UAUCCUAGUAUCCUCGCUCCUCAGAUGUGGCCCUAGAUCCACCUUCCUCCCUGACCUCCUCGCCACCGCUGCUCGCCCCUCUCCUAGCUCCUCCUAGUCCUAGAUCCAUCUAAAUCGUCGGUGGCAACCAGUAGCAGUAGCCCCACUCGCUCCUCGUUGUGGCGUCUUUCCCCUCCUCUUCGUGCUCUACCUUCUCGUCGCCGCACACACUCCUCCGAUCUAGCCCGUAGCUAUCGUGUGUUUGCAGUUCACGGCGUCCCGCCGCGCCGCUCCCUCCUCCCCACAUUGCCCGUGGCCUUUCCCUCCCAUCGCCAUCGUCGCAUGUGUUGGAGCGCUCCACCGGCCUGCCACGUUCUAGCCAGCAUCGGAGCACCCCCUAUCUUGCCUGGAUGCCCUGACGCGGCGACGCCUAGCGCAAUGCCCAUCUCCAGCAAGCCAGCAGUCGACCACGACCCGAUCCCAGCAAGCGGCAGCCGCAUCACGUAGCAGUCCAGUGUCCCCGCCUUGCUCCAGCACCAGCAAGCAGCUACUGCGUCCGGUCAGGUGGCCAACACCUGUCUACAGGAAAAAGAAUAUUGAAGUUUUUUAGGAGUUGAAAUCAAUUCAUCGAUUUCCAGACAAAGACUCGGCCUAAUACAAACAAUAAUUAUUUACUUGCCUAGAUCGAGGACCUCGGGUGCGCUCAGAAGCUGUUCGACGGAAUGUCGAUAUUCAGAACCUCUAGCUCAAACUAGCGGAACACAUAAUUUGUGUUUAUUUGGCUUAAAGUUUGUAGGCGAAGUUAGUUACAUAGCAUUUUGCAGGACAUGUACAGUUCAAAUCAUAAAUCCAUAUAUAUUGUUUUUAGCACAAUGGCAGGAGCUCAAUUAAGAAGUGAGCAAAGAGAGUUACCAUUUGUUUCGUCCGUAUAGUAAUAAUAACUAAUUUACAUCGUGUAGGCGUCCACAUCA